rnacentral:rRNA from 1 species
GAUGAACGCUGGCGGCGUGCUUAACACAUGCAAGUCGAACGAUGAAGCCCAGCUUGCUGGGUGGAUUAGUGGCGAACGGGUGAGUAACACGUGAGUAACCUGCCCUUGACUCUGGGAUAAGCCUGGGAAACUGGGUCUAAUACUGGAUAUGACUUCUCAUCGCAUGGUGGGGGGUGGAAAGAUUUAUUGGUUUUGGAUGGACUCGCGGCCUAUCAGCUUGUUGGUGAGGUAAUGGCUCACCAAGGCGACGACGGGUAGCCGGCAUGAGAGGGUGACCGGCCACACGGGGACUGAGAGACGGCCCAGACUCCUACGGGAGGCAGCAGUGGGGAAUAUUGCACAAUGGGCGCAAGCCUGAUGCAGCGACGCCGCGUGAGGGAUGACGGCCUUCGGGUUGUAAACCUCUUUCAGUAGGGAAGAAGCGAGAGUGACGGUACCUGCAGAAGAAGCGCCGGCUAACUACGUG